rnacentral:piRNA from 1 species
UGAGGUGGUGAGAUGAUUACAUUCCAAAGC